GUAAUCCUAGCUCCUAGGGAGGCUGAGCCAGGAGAAUUGCUUGAACCCAGGAAGUGGAGGUUGCAGUGAGCUGAGAUUGCACCACUCCACUCCAGCCUGGGUGACAGAGCAAGACUCCAUCUCAAAAGAAAAAAAAAAAAAGAAAAAAAGAAAGAAACAUGGAAUAUGUCUAACAACAUUCCUCUCAUUUUUCAGGGAAGGAGACAGAAGCUGAAAAGGUGAAGUGAUAAGAGUCAGAUCUAGAACCUAGUUUCCCCAUCUCUAAGCCAAGGCCACAAAGUUCAGUGUGGAUGGAUUCUAUUUUAGUUUACUCUUCAGUGGUUUAUCUUGUUCCCUAUCCUAAUCUACAACUUGCCUCAUGUUCUUUCCUAAGAAGUGGGGUUCAAAUCUUAAGCAAAUAAUUAUUAAAUGCUGGACUGAUCUGGCUGCCUUUUAAAACAGAGAGCAGAGAUAAAGUACUUUAAUUACAAGGAUCAAGAAUUGCAAAGCUCUUGGACAAAUGAGCAAAGGCAAUUCAAUGGAGAAAGGAUGGUCUUUUCAACAAAUGAUGCUGGAAAAAUUGGACGUCCACAAUUAACUUAGGCACAGACCUUAAACCUCUUACAAAAGUUAUCUCAAAAUGGAUCAUAGACCAUUACAUUUUAAACAUAAAGUGCAAAACUGAAAAUUCUAGAAGAAAACACGGCAGAAAAAUCGAUGCGAUCUUGGAUUUGGUGAUGAAUCUUUAGAUAUAAUACAACAUCAAAAGCACAUUCUACGAAAGAAUUUCAACCUGUGUUGUCCUCCACAAUUAUAUCCACGUGUGUGCACAGACCUACCCUUCAGUCUAUGGGAACAGUGUAGAGUGGGGAAAGGGCAGAGACUGUCCGGCCAAGCCAAAAGACUUGGGUUCUAGUCAGAGGCCUGCACCUCGUUAGCUGUGUCCCCUCAGGCAAGUCACUUUUCCAGAUUCCAAUUUUCUCAUAGGUAAAAUGAGUAUAUAAUAAUUCUAACCUAGCUCAGGUGGUUCUUAAAAGAGAAAAAGAAAGUAACAUACAUGAAAAUAUUUACAAGACAAUGGUUAUAAUUUUGGUAUAUAUAAAAAUCAUCUGGGCCAGGUGCGGUGGUUCAUACCUGUAAUUCCAGCACUUUGGGGGGCCGAGGUGGGUGGAUCACCUGAGGUCGGGAGUUUGAGACCAGCCUGACCAACAUGGAGAAACCCCAUCUCUACUAAAAAUACAAAAUUAGCCGGGCGUGGUGGCGCAUGACUGUAAUCCCAGCUACUCAGGAGGCUGAGGCAGGAGAAUUGCUUGAACCCGGGAGGCAGAGGUUGCGGUGAGCCAAGAUCACGCCACUGCACUCCAGCCUGGGCAACAAGAGCGAAACUCCAUCUCAAAAAAAAAAAAAAAAUCUGAAGAGAUGACUUUCUGAAUUCCACUAAUCCAGGUACCCCCCACCACUGAGAUUCUGAUUCAUCAGGUGUGGGGUAUGACACAGAAGUCUGCAUUUGAGCUUUCACCUGGUGAAUGAGGCAAGUCUCCCAGGAACCAUUGAGAAACAGUAUUGUAAGCUCCAAAAUGGUAUGUAGGUGUAAGCUAUUAUUGUUAUGCCACACACGGUGUGUUUCUCCUACUCUUCGACACCAAUUUCUAAUUUUCCAGGAGCUCUUAUCGAGUAAAGAGAAAAGGUUAAUAUAAUAUCAACAGAAGUGGCAAUAACAGCUCAUGGGAAGAGGAAGUUGGUAACAGGAGAUGCCCAAGAGGGAGCUGCUGCAUACAUGAGACCUUGGAGUGGGAUCCUGGGACAGGUCUAGGGUCAAGAUGUUGAGUCCUUCAUACCCUUGAUCUUCAUUCCAAUCUAGCUAUGUGUCAAAACAUUUAUAAUAACCCACUUUGUUCUCACACGCAAUCAUUGUUUUCUAAGCAAAAACCUAAAAGAAAGAAUUUUUUUCACCCUCUUAUAUGUCCUUCCAAAUCAUUACCUUCUCUCUUUACCUCUAUGUGAUGUUUGGAGAAGCUAGUAGGCCUAUAUAGGUAGCCAUGAGCAGCAUUGCUUUAAUGGUAAAGAGAUUCUUCUGGAAAAACAAAUUUAGAAAAAAAAAUUUCAUUUCCCCUAGUGUAGUAUAUCAUCCUAAGGGAUUGCCUACAACAUGAUGUAGAAAAAGAGGCUAAAUGGUCUUAUCUCAACUGCUGCAUUUGCCUUAGAACUAUCCUAAUACAUGGCUAUCUAACACAAAAAUACUAAAUCCAUGUAAAAUUGGGAUAUGCUGUAAUAUAAUAAUACCUUAAUUUCAUAUAUUAGAUUCCUUCUUCAUAGAAUUGUAUACAAUUUUCAUGAAUUAAAAAACAAUGAAGAAUAACUUCAAUUCUUCCAAAAUUGAAUAAGAUCUUUUAUAAAGGAAAAAUCAGAAAGUUUGCAGAAUUAGAUUCUGAGCUCUAACACUUACUGUGUGGCCUCAGGCAAGUUACUUAACCUCUCUGAGCCGUUCUAAAACUUUCUCUUAUAAUGAUGACACAGUACUACUCAGCCCUGAGAGUCUCCCCUAACACAGUGUCAGGCACAUGAGCUAUUCAGUAUUUGUAAGUUCCUCCCCUCUAAUCAUUUCUAUCUGUAUUCAUCCUGCUGCUUCAAGGAGGUAGGUUUUCAGCAAGUCGCAUGCUUGCUGAAUAGGGACAGGAAUGAUUAGCAUGUGCCUGCCCUCUUCCAGUAUGAAAACAGGGUUAAGAAGAAUAGAGGAGCAGGGUGUGUGUGUGUUCACUCCAUAUGGAGGACAAAGAUUUCAAAAAUGCACAAACAUUUCAGGGAGAAGAGAUUUUUAAGCCUUCCCAGUGCAGAAGCUAUUUUCUGUUUCAUUUAUUUCUCUUCAGAAUAAACCUGAAGUUCUGUGCGCACCGAAGACAUAAAUGACAUAAAUGUUGAUGGAAGGAGAAGGAUUUGAGGAAGGACGAGAGUCUGAGGAACAAGAAAGGACUGCAGUAGUGAAACAGCAGAAGAAACGAGAUCAUUUUUCUCUUAUAAAAAUUCUGUAAACACAGCCAUUCUUUCUGUAUUUGUAAUUUGAGGACCGACUGGAGUUAUUCCUGAGAGGGCUAUGUUCCUGAGAGAACAAAAUUAUUGUUUUUGAAACUCUAGAGAGAACUGCUCUGGCAAAAGAAAUGUAUCUUUUCAUCUACAGUCAUUCUGAGGUGAAAGAUCUCAUGAUCACUCUGGACUAUACAACCCACAAGCAGACUUCAAGGAUACCUACAGGAACCCCAGAAGUCCUGAUUGAUCACACAGGCCCUAAAGACCCUAUCAACUUGUUUAUCAACUUGCAAUUCUAAUUUCCUGAGAGUAAAACACCAGUAAAAAAUAAUCUCCUCCCUCAAUAUUCUAGAGAAUGCAAAGAAAUACACAGUCACUGUAGACCUGUGAGCUUUUGCCAAGUUUGGUUUUCAUUAUUAUACAUAUGAAGAGAAUCAUCUUCGCCAAAAUCUAUAAAGGGGCUGAUUAACUCAGCUCUGUAGUAAUUGUUUCAUAUUAAAUCAGUCCAAAAGUUUAGGGCAUGUUUCUCAGGAACUCUUUAUCUAGCAUCAGGUAUGUAUCUAAACAGUAUAGUAUCUGUUAAUUUUGAAGUUAUAUAAAAAAAGAAAAUGUGCAUUUUCACACGUCUUAGUAGAAGCUCUUUACAGUUUAUAUAAUCCAAUGUUGAUAGAGUAAAAUUUUUUUAUUCUUUCCAGUAAUCAAAAAGUAGUCAAAAUAAACAAAAGUUUCAACUUUUAGAGGUAUCAUUUUUUAGAUUAGAUUGCUUAUAUGGUUUGAUGCUUUCUUAGAAGGUUGAAUGAUUCUAAAAUGCUUUUAAGAAAAACAUCAAGAAUAAAAAGAAUUACUUAAAACCAGGUCAAAUAAAAAAAGAUUAUCAGAGAUCUCAUAAGGCUUGCAAUAUCAUUUCAAGAUUUAUUUUAAAAGUAAGAUUGCACUUUGUUCACUAUUCUUCCCCU
rnacentral:lncRNA from 1 species